CCUACGGGUGGCUGCAGUGGGGGAUAUUGCACAAUGGAGGAAACUCUGAUGCAGCAAUGCCGCGUGAGGGAAGACGGUCUUCGGAUUGUAAACCUCUGUCCUUGGUGAAGAUAAUGACGGUAGCCAGGGAGGAAGCUCCGGCUAACUACGUGCCAGCAGCCGCGGUAAUACGUAGGGAGCAAGCGUUGUCCGGAUUUACUGGGUGUAAAGGGUGCGUAGGCGGCUUUUUAAGUCGGGCGUGAAAGCUGUGGGCUUAACCCACAAAUUGCGUUCGAAACUGGAGGGCUUGAGUGAAGUAGAGGUAGGCGGAAUUCCCGGUGUAGCGGUGAAAUGCGUAGAGAUCGGGAGGAACACCAGUGGCGAAGGCGGCCUACUGGGCUUUAACUGACGCUGAGGCACGAAAGCAUGGGUAGCAAACAGGAUUAGAUACCCUAGUAGUC
rnacentral:rRNA from 1 species